rnacentral:rRNA from 1 species
GUGGGGAAUCUUAGACAAUGGGGGAAACCCUGAUCUAGCCAUGCCGCGUGAGCGAUGAAGGCCUUAGGGUUGUAAAGCUCUUUCAGCUGGGAAGAUAAUGACGGUACCAGCAGAAGAAGCCCCGGCUAACUCCGUGCCAGCAGCCGCGGUAAUACGGAGGGGGCUAGCGUUGUUCGGAAUUACUGGGCGUAAAGCGCGCGUAGGCGGACCAGAAAGUUGGAGGUGAAAUCCCAGGGCUCAACCUUGGAACUGCCUUCAAAACUCCUGGUCUGGAGUUCGAGAGAGGUGAGUGGAAUUCCGAGUGGAGAGGUGAAAUUCGUAGAUAUUCGGAGGAACACCAGUGGCGAAGGCGGCUCACUGGCUCGAUACUGACGCUGAGGUGCGAAAGCGUGGGGAGCAAACAGGAUUAGAUACCCGGGUAGUCC